AUUGAACGCUGGCGGCAUGCCUUACACAUGCAAGUCGAACGGCAGCACGGGAGCAAUCCUGGUGGCGAGUGGCGAACGGGUGAGUAAAGUAUCGGAACGUGCCCAGUCGUGGGGGAUAACGUAGCGAAAGUUACGCUAAUACCGCAUACGAUCUAUGGAUGAAAGCGGGGGAUCGCAAGACCUCGCGCGAUUGGAGCGGCCGAUAUCAGAUUAGGUAGUUGGUUGGGUAAAGGCUCACCAAGCCGACGAUCUGUAGCUGGUCUGAGAGGACGACCAGCCACACUGGGACUGUGACACGGCCCAGACUCCUACGGGAGGCAGCAGUGGGGAAUUUUGGACAAUGGGCGAAAGCCUGAUCCAGCCAUGCCGCGUGCAGGAUGAAGGCCUUCGGGUUGUAAACUGCUUUUGUACGGAACGAAAAGGUUUGGCCUAAUAAGCUGAGCUCAUGACGGUACCGUAAGAAUAAGCACCGGCUAACUACGUGCCAGCCGCCGCGGUAA
rnacentral:rRNA from 1 species